GUGCUUACUGUUUAGAAGUGUCGAUUAUUUAUAUUUAUGAGAAUGGACUUUCUUGCUAUGCUUCCUUUUGCAAACGUGCCGUUUGGAUGGAUGGAAUUCUUACACGAGGGAAUACAUAUUUCCCACAAAUUUACAAAUUUACACCAACAUCUUACAAGUUACAAUACAAGUUCCAUAUCUAUGAGAAGAUGGAAUAAAGUAGCCAAUGAAGAAUACAGUUCAAGCAAGAAACCAGUUUAUAGGCUGACCAAUUUAGAACCAGGAAGCAAAAUACCUUUGUCCAUCAUUUAGGUCUCUUGUAGCCGUCUUCAAAUACGGUUCUGAUGUCGGCUUUCAUUGGGCUUUCUUCUUCACACAAUGGCCGGAGGUACGCACCAGUUAGUUAGUCGGAUGUUGAUCUAAGAUAGAGAAGCGACUUUGGCCGAAGAUGAAGAAAGUGGCAAGGUAUCCAAAUUCCAUAUCUUGGGGGAAAUGGUACAGGAACUUAUCACUUCACGGUUUUGUUUAGGUCAGCCCGAUUUUUGUUCAUUUAUUUGGAAAUUUUAAAGCAAUUAAAG
rnacentral:lncRNA from 1 species